UACGGAGGGAGCUAGCGUUGUUCGGAAUUACUGGGCGUAAAGCGCACGUAGGCGGCUUUGUAAGUUAGAGGUGAAAGCCCGGGGCUCAACUCCGGAAUUGCCUUUAAGACUGCAUCGCUUGAAUCCGGGAGAGGUGAGUGGAAUUCCGAGUGUAGAGGUGAAAUUCGUAGAUAUUCGGAAGAACACCAGUGGCGAAGGCGGCUCACUGGACCGGUAUUGACGCUGAGACGCGAAAGCGUGGGGAGCGAACAGG
rnacentral:rRNA from 1 species